GUGAGAGGCUGUUUUGGAAAUGGGAGGAAAUGUAUUUCCAGAGGGAAGGGGCCGACCACGUGCUGCUGAAGCGCCCAACCUUCAUGCCACUGCAGGGCCGCCAGCCAGCUGGUAAACUCAGGCACGGCCGAACCGGUCGUUAAAAUACUGAAAUGCUCUGAAUCUGAGUGGCAAAUAGCGGCUGUCCCGAGCCCCAGCGGGUCCCCUGCUGCCUGGGCCUACCUCUGCACGUGUGGUGCAGGUCCCUGGACUUUCUCACAGCCCGACUUCGGAGGACCCGGCCCAGGAACUUGGUCUUCCCUCACUCGUGCUAAGCGGCUAUCAGAAAGCAAGGAUGCCCCUCAGAGUCCACCGCUGACAGCCACCUCCUACUAG
rnacentral:lncRNA from 1 species